UCUUUUAAUUGAAGGCUGGUAUGAAUGGUUGGACGAGACAUUAACUGUUUCAUAAUAAUUUUAUAUAGAAUUUAAUUUUUUAGUUAAAAAGCUAAAAUUUAUUUAAAAGACGAGAAGACCCUAUAAAUCUUUAUAUUAUAAUUAUUAAUAUAAUUUAGAUUUUUUUUGUUAUAAUAAAUGGUAAUAUUUUAUUGGGGUGAUAUUAAAAUUUAAAGAACUUUUAAUUUUAUUUAUCAUUAAUUUAUGAUUUAAUGAUCCACUUUUUGUGAUUAAAAAUAUAAGUUACUUUAGGGAUAACAGCGUAAUUUUUUUGGAGAGUUCUUAUCAAUAAAAAAGAUUGC
rnacentral:rRNA from 1 species